rnacentral:rRNA from 1 species
AACUGGGGUGACCCCAAAUCCACCAAAUACCGGCUUGAGACUAGCAGCAGCAGUUUCUCACUAAGCACAAGGAACUUUGCGGGCUCCCGGAGUAUCUUGCACACGACAAAUGUUUCGUCCUUCAGCCUGCCACAAUCAGCUUGGAGAAGCAAAGAUACUCCAACUGCUUCUUCCCAGGAGUAUGGGAACAAAGGGCGAUCUCUGGCCACAGGCCUCGAGAAACGGACACGCAGGCGGUUGGAUUCAUGA